UACGUAGGGUGCAAGCGUUGUCCGGAAUUAUUGGGCGUAAAGAGCUCGUAGGCGGUUUGUCGCGUCGGCUGUGAAAACCUGGGGCUCAACCCCGGGCCUGCAGCCGAUACGGGCAAACUAGAAUUCGGUAGGGGAGACUGGAAUUCCUGGUGUAGCGGUGAAAUGCGCAGAUAUCAGGAGGAACACCGGUGGCGAAGGCGGGUCUCUGGGCCGAUAUUGACGCUGAGGAGCGAAAGCGUGGGUAGCAAACAGG
rnacentral:rRNA from 1 species